GCAGGUUGAAGCGCGGGUAAGACCGCGUGGAGGACCGAACCCACCUGGGUUGAAAACCGGGGGGAUGACCUGGGGCUAGGGGUGAAAGGCCAAUCAAAUUCCGUGAUAGCUGGUUCUCUCCGAAAUGCAUUUAGGUGCAGCGUCGGUCGAUUGCGUCGCGGGGGUAGAGCUACCGGAUGCUUGCGGGCCCUUGUUGGGUACCAACAGCAGCCGAACUCCGAAUACCGUUGACGUGUAUUCCGGCAGUGAGUCGGCGGGGGAUAAGCUCCGUCGUCGAGAGGGAGACAGCCCAGACCGUCGUCUAAGGUCCCGAAGCGUGUGCUAAGUGGGAAAGGAUGUGGAGUCGCAUAGACAGCCAGGAGGUUGGCUCAGAAGCAGCCAUCCUUGAAAGAGUGCGUAACAGCUCACUGGUCUAGUGGUUCCGCGCCGACAAUGUAGCGGGGCUCAAGCACACCACCGAAGACGCGGCAGCAAUCUUCAUGGUUGCUGGGUAGGAGAGCGUCCUGCGAGGGGCGAAGCGGCCGGGUAACCGUGCCGUGGACUUCGUGGGAGUGAGAAUGCAGACAUGAGUAGCGAGAGACGGGUGAGGAUCCCGUCCGCUGGAUGACCAAGGGUUCCGGGGCCACGUUCGUCGUCCCCGGGUGAGUCGGGUCCUAAGGCGAGGCCGACAGGCGUAGUCGAAUGGAUGAACGGGUGGAUAUUCCCGUACCGACCAUGGACCGGCAAAACCGAGACGGUGAGUACUAACCUCCGCCUCGUGGUGGUUCCUUCCUUCGGGUUGGUCCCGCCGCGUGGUGUUGGGACCGUAGCCGUAGUAGGUCAGCGCAGGGGUGACACGGAAUGGGAGCCGGCCGCGGAGGUGGUUUUCCGUGGUCAAGCACGCAGCCAGUCAUGUAGGCAAAUCCGCAUGGCGCGCAUGGCGAGGUGUGAUGAUGGGAGCCGUUAUGGCUCGAUAUCCGGUUGUCCAGGCCGUCGAGAAAAGCCUCGGCGUGAGGGCCAUGGCCGCCCGUACCCCAAACCGACACUGGUGGUCAGGUAGAGAAUACCAAGGCGAUCGAGCGAAUCCUGGUCAAGGAACUCGGCAAAUCACUCCCGUGCCUUCGGUAUAAGGGAGACCCGCUGGGGUGAACCGGCUAGCCCGGGGAGCUUUGGUGGGUGGCACAGACCAGGGGGUAGCGACUGUUUACCAAAAACACAGGUGCAUGCGAAGGCGAAAGCCGCUGUAUAUGCACUGACGCCUGCCCGGUGCCGGAAGGUUAAGAGGAUCCGUCAAUCCCUUCGGGGACGAAGCGGUGAAUUCAAGCCCCGGUAAACGGCGGUGGUAACUAUAACCAUCCUAAGGUAGCGAAAUUCCUUGUCGGGUAAGUUCCGACCUGCACGAAUGGCGUAACGACUUCCCCACUGUCUCGACCAGGAGCUCGGCGAAAUUGCAGUACGAGUAAAGAUGCUCGUUAAGCGCAGAAGGACGAAAAGACCCCGGGACCUUUACUAUACCUUGGUAUUGGCGUUAGGCGCGGAUUGUGUAGCAUAGGCGGGAGGCUUCGAAGCGGGUGCGCCAGCAUUCGUGGAGCCGCAAGGUGAAAUACCGCUCUGUUCUCGUUUGACGUCUAACCUCGACAAGUCAUCCUUGUCAGGGACAGUGCCUGGCGGGUAGUUCAACUGGGGCGGUUGCCUCCCAAAGAGUAACGGAGGCGCUCAAAGGUCCGCUCAGCCCGGUUGGCAAUCGGGUGUCGAGUGUAAUCGCACAAGCGGGCUUGACUGCGAGGACGACGGUCCGAGCAGGGACGAAAGUCGGAGAUAGUGAUCCGGUGCCGGCGCACGGGCGCGGCAUCGCUCAACGGAUAAAAGGUACCCCGGGGAUAACAGGCUGAUCAUUCCCAAGAGUCCAUAUCGACGGGAUGGUUUGGCACCUCGAUGUCGGCUCGUCGCAUCCUGGGGCUGGAGCAGGUCCCAAGGGUUCGGCUGUUCGCCGAUUAAAGCGGCACGCGAGCUGGGUUCAGAACGUCGUGAGACAGUUUGGUCUCUAUCCUCUGCGCUCGUUGGAAUCCUGAGGAGGCCUGCCCAUAGUACGAGAGGACCUGGGUGGACGAACCUCUGGUAUGCCGGUUGUC
rnacentral:rRNA from 1 species